AGCCCGGUCGUCUAGCGGCCAAAGGACCCAGCCCGGCCAUGGAUGCGGGGCUCUGGACCCCGUGGCCCGGGUUCGAAUCCCGGCCGGGCUA
rnacentral:tRNA from 1 species